rnacentral:rRNA from 1 species
UGGCGGCAGGCCUAACACAUGCAAGUCGAACGGCAGCACAGUAAGAGCUUGCUCUUAUGGGUGGCGAGUGGCGGACGGGUGAGGAAUACAUCGGAAUCUACUCUUUCGUGGGGGAUAACGUAGGGAAACUUACGCUAAUACCGCAUACGACCUACGGGUGAAAGCGGAGGACCUUCGGGCUUCGCGCGGUUGAAUGAGCCGAUGUCGGAUUAGCUAGUUGGCGGGGUAAAGGCCCACCAAGGCGACGAUCCGUAGCUGGUCUGAGAGGAUGAUCAGCCACACUGGAACUGAGACACGGUCCAGACUCCUACGGGAGGCAGCAGUGGGGAAUAUUGGACAAUGGGCGCAAGCCUGAUCCAGCCAUGCCGCGUGGGUGAAGAAGGCCUUCGGGUUGUAAAGCCCUUUUGUUGGGAAAGAAAAGCAGUCGGUUAAUACCCGAUUGUUCUGACGGUACCCAAAGAAUAAGCACCGGCUAACUUCGUGCCAGCAGCCGCGGUAAUACGAAGGGUGCAAGCGUUACUCGGAAUUACUGGGCGUAAAGCGUGCGUAGGUGGUGGUUUAAGUCUGUUGUGAAAGCCCUGGGCUCAACCUGGGAAUUGCAGUGGAUACUGGGUCACUAGAGUGUGGUAGAGGGUAGCGGAAUUCCCGGUGUAGCAGUGAAAUGCGUA